GACGAACGCUGGCGGCGUGCUUAACACAUGCAAGUCGAACGGUGAAGCGCCUUCCUUUUUGGUGGGUGUGGAUGAGUGGCGAACGGGUGAGUAACACGUGAGUAACCUGCCCCCUUCUUCUGGAUAACCGCAUGAAAGUGUGGCUAAUACGGGAUAUUCUGGGUCUGUCGCAUGAUGGGUCUGGGAAAGAUAUUGUUUCGGUGGGGGAUGGGCUCGCGGCCUAUCAGCUUGUUGGUGGGGUGAUGGCCUACCAAGGCGGUGACGGGUAGCCGGCCUGAGAGGGUGGACGGUCACACUGGGACUGAGACACGGCCCAGACUCCUACGGGAGGCAGCAGUGGGGAAUAUUGCACAAUGGGAGCAAGCCCGAUGCAGCGACGCCGCGUGAGGGAUGGAGGCCUGCGGGUUGUGAACCUCUUUCGCCAGUGAAGCAGGCCUGCCUCGUUUGUGGGUGGGUUGACGGUAGCUGGAUAAGAAGCGCCGGCUAACUACGUG
rnacentral:rRNA from 1 species